AUGUCCAAAGUUCUAGUAUGACAAUAUCUCAAAGUACAGGGGUGGGAAGCUGAAUCACUUUUUGUUAUUUGAAACCAUAUCCCGUAUUGAUCCAGUAUAUUAAUGGUGCUUAUAUACAUGGAUGGUGAGUGCAUUAAAUUCUGUAGGGGUAUAACUGACCACUAUUAGCCUUUGGCUAGACUUUUCAACUCAGUUGAUACUAACUUUCCCUAAAGUGUCAUCACAAUUUCUGUGUUAGUCCUUGUUUGUUUGUUACUCUAGAAUAAUGGGAUUUUAGAGUUUAUUUUAUCUUAGAAAACUACCACUGAAUCACAAGUAACCAGUUACUUGUGCCACAUCUCAAUUUAUAUGUUAAGUGGAAUUUGUUGAAUGUAUUUUAAUUUAUUUUUUGAUUUAAAUAAAAUUUAUGUUUCCGAAAAGCUAAUGUUUCUGCAAGUUUGAAUAUACAUGUAUUUCAUCAUGCGUAAUGAAUGGGCUCCUGUACUGAUACCACAUUUGGGUAUGGAGCAAAUAACCGAUUACUCUUUUCACUGAUUCUCGUUCUGACUAAAUUGGGAACUAGGAUGUAACACAUCCCCUUAACUAACCUAAGUCUGGGUCUCAAAUUUUAUAUAACCUUAGUAAGUGAUUACUCUGUAAGCAUCCAAAUAAUGUUUUGGAUUCCAAUAAUAAAGUGAUGUGAUAUUGAACAUGUCAAAAAUUAAAUUGAAUAAACAGUUUCAGAAUCCAUUCAGCGCCAUCUUCAAAUCAGAACACAAGUUAAAAAUGGUGCUUAACUUAACCAAUUUCAUUUAGUCAGGCAGUAGUGUUUUAAAAGAGAAAAAGAUGAAAAAUACUUGCUUGAGGUUGGUGACCUUGAAGUUGCUGGCACCACGGACGGUGACAUUGGUACCACGUGCCCGUACACCGGUACCCCUGGACACAUCCACCACAGGGAGCACCAAUGGCUCCAGUCCUGGCACAUCCAACUCAGGAAUACCUGGGGUCAAAGUCAAAGUUCAAAAGUUGAAAAAUAAGUGACAUGACUGAGAUACAGUGCCCGUUAUCUGUCUCGUGGUUCUCGACAGGAGGUGGCCUCUAUCAACCAUCGUACCCAUCAUAAACAUGAUUUCAUUUCGGAAGCAAGCGCAAAGGUCUUUUGGACUAAGUUAAAUAAGAUGUUUCCUAACUUUUUGCCUUAAAAAACACAUGUAAUAUAAAACAUUUAGAAAGAAUUAAAAUAUUUUAGAGAUAUUUAUAAUGAAGGUUGAACAUUUCAAGAAACAUAGAUAAUUAAAUAUAAACUAUUAAAAAAUAGUAUUUUACUAUAAAUAGGUAUAAAAUAUUGUAAAUUUAUUGAAACAUCAACCUGUUCAUAUUUUACUAUUACAAUUACUAGCAAUUAUUCCCUGUGAAUUUGAAGACAAGUGUAACAUCUUGACAGGAUAA